rnacentral:rRNA from 1 species
GGGUUGUGAGGUUAAGCGACUAAGCGUACACGGUGGAUGCCCUGGCAGUCAGAGGCGAUGAAGGACGUGCUAAUCUGCGAUAAGCGUCGGUAAGGUGAUAUGAACCGUUAUAACCGGCGAUUUCCGAAUGGGGAAACCCAGUGUGUUUCGACACACUAUCAUUAACUGAAUCCAUAGGUUAAUGAGGCGAACCGGGGGAACUGAAACAUCUAAGUACCCCGAGGAAAAGAAAUCAACCGAGAUUCCCCCAGUAGCGGCGAGCGAACGGGGAGCAGCCCAGAGCCUGAAUCAGUGUGUGUGUUAGUGGAAGCGUCUGGAAAGGCGCGCGAUACAGGGUGACAGCCCCGUACACAAAAAUGCACAUGCUGUGAGCUCGAUGAGUAGGGCGGGACACGUGGUAUCCUGUCUGAAUAUGGGGGGACCAUCCUCCAAGGCUAAAUACUCCUGACUGACCGAUAGUGAACCAGUACCGUGAGGGAAAGGCGAAAAGAACCCCGGCGAGGGGAGUGAAAAAGAACCUGAAACCGUGUACGUACAAGCAGUGGGAGCACGCUUAGGCGUGUGACUGCGUACCUUUUGUAUAAUGGGUCAGCGACUUAUAUUCUGUAGCAAGGUUAACCGAAUAGGGGAGCCGAAGGGAAACCGAGUCUUAACUGGGCGUUAAGUUGCAGGGUAUAGACCCGAAACCCGGUGAUCUAGCCAUGGGCAGGUUGAAGGUUGGGUAACACUAACUGGAGGACCGAACCGACUAAUGUUGAAAAAUUAGCGGAUGACUUGUGGCUGGGGGUGAAAGGCCAAUCAAACCGGGAGAUAGCUGGUUCUCCCCGAAAGCUAUUUAGGUAGCGCCUCGUGAAUUCAUCUCCGGGGGUAGAGCACUGUUUCGGCAAGGGGGUCAUCCCGACUUACCAACCCGAUGCAAACUGCGAAUACCGGAGAAUGUUAUCACGGGAGACACACGGCGGGUGCUAACGUCCGUCGUGAAGAGGGAAACAACCCAGACCGCCAGCUAAGGUCCCAAAGUCAUGGUUAAGUGGGAAACGAUGUGGGAAGGCCCAGACAGCCAGGAUGUUGGCUUAGAAGCAGCCAUCAUUUAAAGAAAGCGUAAUAGCUCACUGGUCGAGUCGGCCUGCGCGGAAGAUGUAACGGGGCUAAACCAUGCACCGAAGCUGCGGCAGCGACGCUUAUGCGUUGUUGGGUAGGGGAGCGUUCUGUAAGCCUGUGAAGGUGUGCUGUGAGGCAUGCUGGAGGUAUCAGAAGUGCGAAUGCUGACAUAAGUAACGAUAAAGCGGGUGAAAAGCCCGCUCGCCGGAAGACCAAGGGUUCCUGUCCAACGUUAAUCGGGGCAGGGUGAGUCGACCCCUAAGGCGAGGCCGAAAGGCGUAGUCGAUGGGAAACAGGUUAAUAUUCCUGUACUUGGUGUUACUGCGAAGGGGGGACGGAGAAGGCUAUGUUGGCCGGGCGACGGUUGUCCCGGUUUAAGCGUGUAGGCUGGUUUUCCAGGCAAAUCCGGAAAAUCAAGGCUGAGGCGUGAUGACGAGGCACUACGGUGCUGAAGCAACAAAUGCCCUGCUUCCAGGAAAAGC